UUCCCUUUCUGCGAGAAUUUUCAAUAUAAACGGGAAAAAGUUAACUUAUAAGGGAAUCUUUGCUCCAGUCCAAAUUGUAAAAUAUUUAUAAAAAUCAAAAUAUUUGAAAAUAAUUCAACAUAUUUUCACAGAUUUUUUAAAUAGGAGCAUAGGAGGGAAUUUUAUCAUAAAAGUGGGAAUUUUUAAGGUACGUUGAGGGAAAAAGCUUACUCGACAGCUGGCAACACGGGAAAAGUAACCUGCCAUUGCCAUCCUGCCAAGCGGUGAUAAUUUGUGGUUAGGUAUAUCCUAUAAUCCUAUCCUAUGUUGAUUUGAUAUUUUUCUUUGAUUUUUUUACAUUUACCAUACAAUUCUCCGAGACUAUUACUUUAAUUACUAAGCUGAAGCUUGUUUUCUUCAGUUUUUCAUAGACCCACCUGCUUGUGGUGAUUAGGAUUAGGUACGAUUAGGUAUUCUUUUUGCUUUGGUGAAAUUGAGAGCUGAGAAAAAACUGAGCAUCGGAAUCUGAAGCUAGCGCUAGCGGGUUUAAUGUAAGUUCCAAUAAAUAAUUUUAGACAAUAGAUUGUAUUUUAGUUGAGUGAUUACUGAAUAAAUAGUUAUAUAAAAUGGUA
rnacentral:lncRNA from 1 species